rnacentral:rRNA from 1 species
AUUAGAGUUUGAUCAUGGCUCAGGACGAACGCUGGCGGCGUGCUUAACACAUGCAAGUCACGGGGGCCCGCAAGGGUAACCGGCGAACGGGUGCGUAACACGUGAGCAACCUACCCAAGUGUGGGGGAUAGCCGGGCCAACGCCCGGGUAAUACCGCAUACGCUCUUCGAGGGACAUCCCUUGGAGAGGAAACCUCCGGGGCACAUGGAGGGGCUCGCGGCCUAUCAGCUAGUUGGUGCGGUAACGGCGCACCAAGGCUAUGACGGGUAGCUGGUCUGAGAGGAUGGCCAGCCACAUUGGGACUGCGACACGGCCCAGACUCCUACGGGAGGCAGCAGUGGGGAAUAUUGCGCAAUGGACGAAAGUCUGACGCAGCGACGCCGCGUGGGGGAUGAAGCAUUUCGGUGUGUAAACCCCUGUUGCUCGGGACGAACAAGCCUUUUCGAGGGCUCUGACGGUACCGGGUGAGGAAGCACCGGCUAACUCUGUGCCAGCAGCCGCGGUAAUAAU